GCGCUCGUAGCUCAACGGAUAGAGCAGCGGCCUUCGAAGCCGAAGGUUGGGGGUUCGAGUCCCUCCGAGCGCGCCA
rnacentral:tRNA from 1 species